CGGCCGCCGCCGCCGCCGCCAUCCCGGCCCGGCCCCCCCGCCCCACCUCGGGAGCCUCCUUCUGCGGGUCGCGAGACAGCCGCCGCCGGCACACCGCACACCGCACUUCCGCCUGGCCAGCGGUCGCUCCGGAAGUGAUCGCCGCCAACCCGGAAGAAGAAGCGGCCGCCCGGCGUCCCCUUCUGGCGCGCUCGCCUGGGUGGUUUUCUGGCAGGUGUUUCUCAUAUGAAGUAAAGUGAAGAAGGAAACACACCUGGAACUGGGAACUGAAGGAGGACCCCACACCGAGGAGGGGAGCCAGCAGGGCUGCUGCAAUGUCAUCAGCACUAAGGACGUCUGUGAUGCUCAUUCUCCACCUAUUCGCAGGACAAAUGACAUUUGGUAAAUGGCAAGUUGGAACAUGCACGUCUGGG